rnacentral:tRNA from 1 species
GGCAGUAUGGCUGAAAGUAGGCGGCGGAUUGUAAGUCCGUUUUAUGGGGGUUCGAGUCCUUCUGCUGCUA